GUGCUCACUUCGGCAACACAUAUAAUAAUAUUAGAAUGAUACAGAGAUUAGCAUGGCCACUGCACAAGGAUGACAUGAAAAUUCAUGAAGCAUUCCAUAUUUUU
ensembl:snRNA U6 U6 spliceosomal RNA